rnacentral:rRNA from 1 species
CCUACGGGUGACUGCAGUGAGGAAUUUUGGUCAAUGGACGAGAGCCUGAACCAGCCAAGUAGCGUGAAGGAUGACUGUUCUAUGGGUCGUAAACCUCUUUUAUAUGGGAAUAAAGUGUUGCACGUGUCCUCUUUUGUAUGUACCUUAUGAAUAAGGAUCGGCUAACUCCGUGCCAGCAGCCGCGGUAAUACGGAGGAUCCGAGCGUUAUCCGGAUUUAUUGGGUUUAAAGGGUGCGUAGGUGGCUUGUUAAGUCAGCUGUGAAAGUUUGCGGCUCAACCGUAAAAUUGCCGUUGAAACUGGGGGGCUGGAGUACGGUAGAGGUAGGCGGAAUGCGUGGUGUAGCGGUGAAAUGCUUAGAUAUCACGCAGAACCCCGAUUGCGAAGGCAGCUCGCUAAGCUACGACUGACGCUGAGGCACGAAAGUGUGGGUAUCAAACAGGAUUAGAUACCCGGGUAGUC